UCGUAACAAGGUUUCCGUAGGUGAACCUGCGGAAGGAUCAUUACCGAGUGCGGGCUGCCUCCGGGCGCCCAACCUCCCACCCGUGACUACCUAACACUGUUGCUUCGGCGGGGAGCCCUCUCGGGGGCGAGCCGCCGGGGACUACUGAACUUCAUGCCUGAGAGUGAUGCAGUCUGAGUCUGAAUAUAAAAUCAGUCAAAACUUUCAACAAUGGAUCUCUUGGUUCCGGCAUCGAUGAAGAACGCAGCGAACUGCGAUAAGUAAUGUGAAUUGCAGAAUUCAGUGAAUCAUCGAGUCUUUGAACGCACAUUGCGCCCCCUGGCAUUCCGGGGGGCAUGCCUGUCCGAGCGUCAUUGCUGCCCAUCAAGCCCGGCUUGUGUGUUGGGUCGUCGUCCCCCCCGGGGGACGGGCCCGAAAGGCAGCGGCGGCACCGUGUCCGGUCCUCGAGCGCAUGGGGCUUUGUCACCCGCUCGAUUAGGGCCGGCCGGGCGCCAGCCGACGUCUCCAACCAUUUUUUUCAGGUUGACCUCGGAUCAGGUAGGGAUACCCGCUGAACUUAAGCAUAUCAAUAA
rnacentral:misc_RNA from 1 species